rnacentral:rRNA from 1 species
CCUACCGGGAGGCAGCAGUGAGGAAUAUUGGUCAAUGGACGAGAGUCUGAACCAGCCAAGUAGCGUGAAGGAUGACUGCCCUAUGGGUUGUAAACUUCUUUUAUAUGGGAAUAAACUUUUCCACGUGUGGUAUUUUGUCUGUACCAUAUGAAUAAGGCUCGGCUAACUCCGUGCCAGCAGCCGCGGUAAUACGGAGGAUCCGAGCGUUAUCCGGAUUUAUUGGGUUUAAAGGGAGCGUAGGUGGAUUGUUAAGUCAGUUGUGAAAGUUUGCGGCUCAACCGUAAAAUUGCAGUUGAAACUGGCAGUCUUGAGUACAGUAGAGGUGGGCGGAAUUCGUGGUGUAGCGGUGAAAUGCUUAGAUAUCACGAAGAACUCCGAUUGCGAAGGCAGCUCACUGGACUGCAACUGACACUGAGGCUCGAAAGUGUGGGUAUCAAACAGGAUUAGAUACCCCUGUAGUC